AGGACGAACGCUGGCGGCGUGCCUAACACAUGCAAGUCGAACGGGGGUAGCAAUACCCCAGUGGCGAACGGGUGCGUAACACGUGAAGAACUUGUCCAUCGGCGGGGGAUAGCCGGCCCAACGGCCGGGUAAUACCGCGUACGCCGUCUGAAGCGCAUGCUUCGGCCGGGAAAGCAGCAAUGCACCGAUGGAGAGCUUCGCGGCCUAUCAGCUAGUUGGCGGGGUAAUGGCCCACCAAGGCAACGACGGGUAGCUGGUCUGAGAGGAUGACCAGCCACAUUGGGACUGAGACACGGCCCAGACUCCUACGGGAGGCAGCAGUGGGGAAUAUUGCGCAAUGGGGGAAACCCUGACGCAGCGACGCCGCGUGUGGGAUGACGGCCUUCGGGUUGUAACCACUGUCGCGAGGGACGAAAAAUGACGGUACCUCGAAGGAAGCACCGGCUAACUCUGUGCCAGCAGCCGC
rnacentral:rRNA from 1 species